rnacentral:rRNA from 1 species
GAUGAACGCUGGCGGCGUGCCUAAUACAUGCAAGUCGAGCGAACAGACGAGGAGCUUGCUCCUCUGACGUUAGCGGCGGACGGGUGAGUAACACGUGGAUAACCUACCUAUAAGACUGGGAUAACUUCGGGAAACCGGAGCUAAUACCGGAUAAUAUAUUGAACCGCAUGGUUCAAUAGUGAAAGACGGUUUUGCUGUCACUUAUAGAUGGAUCCGCGCCGCAUUAGCUAGUUGGUAAGGUAACGGCUUACCAAGGCAACGAUGCGUAGCCGACCUGAGAGGGUGCUGGCCCACACGGAAAGAGACACCGGGUCCAGACACCUAGGGGGGGACGAGGGAGGGAUUCUUCCGAAAGGGGAGAAAGCCGGAGGGAGAAGCGCCGCGGGAUAGAUAAAGGUCUUGGGAUCUAAAAACUUUGUUAUUAGGGAAAAACAAAUGUGAAAGUAACUAUGCCCGUCUUGAGGGUCCCUAAUAAGAAAGCCACGGCAACCUACGGG